GGGGCAAGAGAAAGGGGGAGAAUUUUCUAGUCUGGGGUUCAGCGGCAGCGUGAGCUGAAGGGGGGCCUGGCCAACUCACGCUCCCCAUGGAACAGCAGACUUUCUGUUGGAGCGAGUCAGUGUACCUUCUCCCCUGACUCACUGGGAGCAUGUCCUGUGGAAGGAUCUAGAAUGUUUUCUUUCUUCUUGCUCAGGGCACACCAGGCAGAACCAGCCAGGAGGGAAGAACAUUUGGCGCCAGGACUUAGUCACAGGUGCAGGAGACCUAGAACAUUCUGUGUCUAGAGAAGUGAGCCCUUGGCUUGGCUUGGCUGGCUGCCAGCUUGCUGCAAACAGAACCAGACUCUUAGGGGCCUAGUGUGAGCCCGAGCCUAAGGCUUCCCUCCAGCUUGUCCUGGGCUUUAUACCCCACCUCUUCUCAGCCUCAGAAGCCAGGGGAGUCCCCACAGGCUCCCUCUGCUCCAGCCUUGUUCCUGUCAUCUCUGUGCUGUGUGGCUCUGAAGCUGCGCUCCUGACCCAGGCUGACUGGCGGUUCCUUCCAUCCUCUGGGCUGCAAAUAUCUGUGGACCUUGGUGUCGGUUACCAGACACCAGCCUGGAAGAUAUGAGGCCGAGCUUCAGCAGCCUUGUUGCCACCAUGAGGAGAGAGCCCAUCUGAAGGCAUCAGGCAGAAGUAACAGACCUGCAGCCAUGGCAGAGAUGUGACAAGAGGUGAGGAGACCACCGUGGGAACCAUCCAGGUUGUGAGGGUGGCAGCUUGACCAUAAGCUCUGAAGCAACCCUCUGAGGGUCCAAAGCCACCAAGCAAUAGAGCCCCACGAAAUGUGCUGUCUGCACAAUGUACCACCUGGCUUUGUGCGGAGUCCCCCACCACGACUCGGGCUGCUGGAAUUCUCAGGGUGGAAACCUCUCCAGUCACACUUGACUGCCAUGAGACCUCCCCUUAGACACCUCAGGAGACAGGACAGGCUGGAUAUGGAAAGAGGGAAGGGCUACUCCAUGGAGCUCUCUGGCUGCUCCUCCAGAAGCUCUGAUGGAACUGCAGAACCAAGGCCCCAGCAGAGAAGUAGUUACUGCCCAGGAGCAAAUGGAUCCCAGGAGGAGUCCUGUAUGCAGGCUAAUGGGCUACCCUGGGCUCACAUAGAGAAGAAGGGAAAUUACAAGCUUGAAAAGAUCAGGUGGCUGGGGAGCCAGCAGGUGCCUCCACCCCAACUCCACAGUGGCCAAGGCAGGAAUGUGGCCUCACCCCCACCCCAGUCACCCCAAAUCAGAGCUGCCUUGAAUCCAAGGAUCAGAGCUACCAGAGCCCACUCAGCUCAAAGGAGCUCCUGAGACCUGACCAGCCAGGCAUGGCUCCCAAUUAAAAAUGCAUCGAUUGUUA